UACGUAGGGCGCAAGCGUUGUCCGGAAUUAUUGGGCGUAAAGAGCUCGUAGGCGGCUUGUCACGUCGGGUGUGAAAGCCCGGGGCUUAACCCCGGGUCUGCAUUCGAUACGGGCUGGCUGGAGUGUGGUAGGGGAGAUCGGAAUUCCUGGUGUAGCGGUGAAAUGCGCAGAUAUCAGGAGGAACACCGGUGGCGAAGGCGGAUCUCUGGGCAAUUACUGACGCUGAGGAGCGAAAGCGUGGGGAGCGAACAGG
rnacentral:rRNA from 1 species